UGACCUUGUAGUUUAAUAGGAUAGAAUAUAGGAUUCCGAUUCCUAUGGUAUGGGUUCGAAUCCCUUCAAGGUUAUAUU
rnacentral:tRNA from 1 species